rnacentral:lncRNA from 1 species
AUGGAGUUAGCUCAUUGAUUUAGAAUUUUCUCAGAAUUGAUUCAAGACUUUUAGUUUUGUUUUUAAUAUUGACUUUGUCAGACAGUUAUUUUUUUUUGAACACUGAGUUUUGAUUUGUUAUUUGAACUAAGAUUUGAUUAUUAAAUAUUAAAAAAUUUAUUUAACUGUUUGUGAAGAUAUCAUGAUGAGAUGCCUUGCAUGCUUA